CCUACGGGGGGCUGCAGUGGGGAAUAUUGGGCAAUGGGCGCAAGCCUGACCCAGCAACGCCGCGUGAAGGAAGAAGGCUUUCGGGUUGUAAACUUCUUUUCUCAGGGACGAAGCAAGUGACGGUACCUGAGGAAUAAGCCACGGCUAACUACGUGCCAGCAGCCGCGGUAAUACGUAGGUGGCAAGCGUUAUCCGGAUUUACUGGGUGUAAAGGGCGUGUAGGCGGGAAAGCAAGUCAGAUGUGAAAACCCUGGGCUCAACCUGUGGCCUGCAUUUGAAACUGUGUUUCUUGAGUACUGGAGAGGCAGACGGAAUUCCUAGUGUAGCGGUGAAAUGCGUAGAUAUUAGGAGGAACACCAGUGGCGAAGGCGGUUUGCUGGACAGUAACUGACGCUGAGGCGCGAAAGCGUGGGGAGCAAACAGGAUUAGAUACCCCAGUAGUC
rnacentral:rRNA from 1 species